rnacentral:rRNA from 1 species
CCUACGGGUGGCAGCAGUGAGGAAUAUUGGUCAAUGGACGAAAGACUGAACCAGCCAAGUAGCGUGAAGGAUGACGGCCCUAUGGGUUGUAAACUUCUUUUAUGCGGGGAUAAAAUGCGCCACGUGUGCGGUUUUGUAUGUACCGUAUGAAUAAGGAUCGGCUAACUCCGUGCCAGCAGCCGCGGUAAUACGGAGGAUCCGAGCGUUAUCCGGAUUUAUUGGGUUUAAAGGGAGCGUAGGCGGAAUGUUAAGUCCGCCGGGAAAGUCUGUGGCUCAACCGUGGAAGUGCAGUUGAAACUGGCUGUCUUGAGUACACUAGAGGUAGGCGGAAUUCGUGGUGUAGCGGUGAAAUGCUUAGAUAUCACGAAGAACUCCGAUUGCGAAGGCAGCACACUGGAGUGCAACUGACGCUGAGGCUCGAAAGUGUGGGUAUCGAACAGGAUUAGAUACCCUAGUAGUC